GUCAGGAUAGUUACAACCUAUAAGAUAAGACCCAGAUCUGCCAACCCAUCUCCACUCGGAACUGACAAGGCCAUCCAUUAAGCCUUCAUGGACUGAUAAAGGAGAAGGCUUUGUUUAUACAGCUGGGUUUAUGUUAUACAGCUCAAGCUAAUAUAUUUUAGCUAAUGGAUACUUGAAUAAAGAAUUUGGGAAUUUUGGGGCCCGGUUCGGGUGACUGCACAGUCAGGUUUGGGUAACUUGUUCCUUCAGUAUUGGCAAAGUUACCAGUCAGUGUGAACGGUAGUGAUCACGGUGGCUGCCAACCAGUGUUGGCAAUACUGAUCUUUGGGGAUUGGUGUGACUGCUGCCGGUUGUCGCAGUUAUUAUUGGGCUGGGCCACAGGUGGGUCAUCGGCCUUACGGCGCAGUUGCUGAAAGCUUGGGGAUCUGACUCUGCAUAAGGCUGCUACUCUAUAGAAGCAUUUGGUAACUUACCAUUUUCCUGCCUUUUUUCUUACCCUAGUGCAGUGGUGGUGAACCUAUGGCAUGCUUGCCAGAGAGGGCCAAGCAAUGGGCUGAGCAGGCACUGACUUUUGAUGCACCAGGGCCUCCUGCCAGUCUGUUUUUCCUACUCGGGAGUAAGCCGUCUUGAAUUCAGCAGGGCUUAACUCCCAGGCCAGUAAGCAUAUAAAGUAGGCAAUCUAAGAAGGGGCUGCUGGGUUGACAUGUUUGCUGGGCUUUCCCACGGAAGCCAACAGAGAAAUCCAUUCCGUGAAGGCUGCGAUCAAACGGCAGCCGAAGAAAUGGCAAAUAAUAAUAAUAAUAAUAAUAAUAAUAAUAAUAAUAAUAAAUUAUUUAUACCCCGCACAUCUGGCUGGAUUUAUUAUUUAUUUAUGUUUAUUUGUACCUGUGCACGCAGACAAUCAUUAUUAUCUCAUAUUAAAAAUUGAGAGAGGGUGGCUCUUAGUACAGCCCUCCAGCGUACACUAGUGGCCAAAAUUGUGGCGCCUUCUGGAAAAAAAAUGUAUUUCCGAGGUUUGGUGGCUCAUAACAGCACUUUGUUUUGGAGUAAUACCACUGAUUUUUUUCUGUGGGGAUGCAGGGGGACCCACAGCCCUAAACAUUUUGUGAAUUUAACGGGAGAAGAAACUCACUGUAUUUAUUUUUCCCAAUUUGAACUGUAUUUAUUUUCCCCUGGUGGUGAUUUUAUUGAGUCAAAAUGAGAGUACCCAUGAACAUUUUUGUAGAGGGGGGGGGGAAACACCGAGUUAUACCAUAAAAUUAUAUAUCAAUGGAAAGAUAAUUUAAUGACGAAUGUAAUGCAGUAACUUUUAUGAAGGAUUAUUUAUUACAACAGCAGUCAUAAAGAAGAAACGUGAAGUAUGAGAUACACAGGUUAAAUUGCAGUGUUGGCACUUUGCGAUAAGUGAGUGGGUUUUGGGUUGCAGUUUCGGCACUCGGUUUCUAAAAGGUUCGCCAUCACUGUCCUAGUGCCUAGUGGUUCUCAUUAGGGUCCAAGGUUCCUAGUCUGCCAGCAAGAUCAUGCCACAUCCCAAUGCAUGGUUGGGCUUUGGGGCAAUCCUUUGUUUUGGAUGAAGGGGAGGCUGUAGUCUCCGCCUGCCCCUCCAAACCCUGGGGUAUCCCAUUAAAGGGAUCCGAGGGGAGCGGCCAUGUCUGUGUGCCCAGCAGCAGUCCCUGCAGGGGUCACCCUAUUUUGAUGUAUGUCUUAGGAACCCCCACCUGGAUUGACCACACAUAUUUAGAUUGCCCCACACCCAAGCUGAAACAUACACGGAGCCGAGAGUGGAUUUCAUGCUCUUUAUUCAGCUCAUAGUGGUGAGGUGGAAUGGAAGUUCCCCCAUACUGUCUGCUUUAUAUACAUUGUUUAUGCAAUGGGCCCCUUGUGAUUGGCUAAUUCCAGGAUUCACCUGUAGGCCAAUCAGGCUGCGGAUUCACUUCCACCUGGAGCUGGAUUGGGUGGCUCCUGUGGACUAAUCAGACUGCUGCAUUCUGGACCCUAUUGUUCUAGGACCAAUCAGACUGCUGCAUUUUGAAUCCUAUUGUUCUAGGACCAAUCAGACUGCUGCAUUCUGAAUCCUAUUCAACUCAGUACAUAACACAAGCCAAGCCUCUUUCAUCUGUAUUCAAUCAAGUUGUAGCCUGUUUUGACCCCAAACCAUUCUCACUGGUCUGUUUAUUUAUAUGGGUUGGGGUAUGGAGACCCCAACGCCUGGUCCCACAGUGGCUGCAGAGAGGUUUCUCUGGCUGAUGCUGAGGGUGUUGCACAUUAGUGUGUGGUCUUAUCUGAAGUGAAGCAAAUGGGUGAGGGUCCCUAGACAUUAAUAAGGAGAAACCUGUUCUUUCCUGUAAGGAAAAAUGUGAAUAAUCAUGACAAAAUGGAUAUAAAGAAAGGAGGACAAAAUAAACAGGAAGGAAGGAACACAAAUUAGUUCAGAGAGUGCAGGAUUUGCCCUUUCCCCACCCACCCAAUGCUGUAAAGUCUGCAUUAGGGAAGUAAAGGCAUAGGUAAAUGAGUGUGAUGGACAUAGCGAAAGGGGAAAGUGCAAGCUCUUGCAAAAAGCCACAUGAUUGGUGGCUAGACGCAGGCAGAUGUUUCUGAAUGGAAAGUCAGGCAGGGAACACUGUCAGAUCCGGGUCAGUGGACAUAAUGAAGGCCAGUUGGCCUCCUUGCUUCCAAGCAACCGCCUCGUGUUCUCCAUAAUUUCUCUUUCACUGAAUCCGUCCCCUGAAGAGCUGGGAUGUCCCAGGUUGGGCAUUUGUUCAGUCACACAUGGCUUCCGGCUUCAACCUGGAAACGAGAAACAAACCAAACAGCUGAUCCCUACAUGGACUUGGGGAAUAAAUACACAGCCACCAACAGCAGAACUAUUGCUAUGCUCCUUGGACCGCUGCUCAUUUGCUGCUCAGAGACAUGUCGUUAUCAUCAUGUGCUCCCUCCAUCUGUUAGCAUUUUCAUCUCUCUUUUCUGGGGGGGAGAUAGCAAAUAGCAUUUCAUACUGGUGACGCACUUACGUGUCUCAAACCACAUAGGUACAAAGGGGGGAAACGCUUCCCAGUUAUUUCAGUGGCACAUAAUAAUGCAAUACUACCCACCAUUGUAUGAACUUUGCUUUUAAAGAACGGUGCCGUGUUAAGAAUAAUAUGAAGUUUUAAGAAUCUUUUAUGCUUGUCCUUCAGGAGCUUGCAGAAGCAAUAGCUGUAAAUAGCACACAAAUGGAGGGGCAUACUUUGUGACCGCUUCUUUUUGUACUUUUUAUGUAAACAUGAGAUAAAAGACACAGCACGCAAGCACCAGCUGUCCAACAGAAAACGUACAAUGCAAUCCUAUGCGUGUUUAUCCAGAAGCAAGACGUAGCAUGUCUGUAAAGAAAUCGGGGUCCCCAAAUAUUGGGAACCAGGCGCUUGUUGGCUAUAAGCAUGGUUGCUACUCAUGGUUGCGCUUGGCCACCAUGGAGGCUCAUGUUGUUGUUGUUUAGUCAUUUAGUCGUGUCCGACUCUAGUCAUUUAGUCGUGACCCCAUGGACCAGAGCACGCCAGGCACUUCUGUCUUCCACUGCCUCCCGCAGUUUGGUCAAACUCAUGCUGGUAGCUUCCAGAACACUAUCCAACCAUCUCAUCCUCUGCCGUCCCUUUCUCCUUGUGCCCUCCAUCUUUCCCAGCAUCAGGGUCUUUUCCAGGGAGUCUUCUAUUCUCAUGAGGUGGCCAAAGUAUUGGAGCCUCAGCUUCAGGAUCUGUCCUUCCAGUGAGCACUCAGGGCUGAUUUCCUUAAGAAUGGAUAGGUCUGAUCUUCUUGCAGUCCAUGGGACUCUCAAGAGUCUCCUCCAGCACCAUAAUUCAAAAGCAUCAAUUCUUCGGCGAUCAGCCUUCUUUAUGGUCCAGCUUUCACUUCCAUACAUCACUACUGGGAAAACCAUAGCUCCAUAUCCAUAGGUUCCCGCUAAACCCGGCUAUUCAAAUGAGCCAAUCCAUGGCGAUCCGGGGUGCAUGGCCUGGUAAAGUGGACCUGAGGGUUGCAGGCUUCACUCAGGUCCCCCUGCCAGCUAUUUAUCCCAUGAUAUUGACGUUAAAUAAGUUGGAGUUCUUGUUAUUAAAUAUACCAAGAAAAAAGCACACCCAAGAACUCAGGCCAAUGUAAGUUUCAAUAGUGGGAGUGGUCCCUACUCACAAGCCUAUCGUCAAUAGUAACAAAAAUUAAUCCGUUCAAAAGUAUGUUUCUGACAAGGAUUACAAACUCAAAUAGAGAUUACAAACUCAAAAAGUUGUGGGAAGUAGUGAAAGUAAUGAUCACUUGUGCAACAGUGACCCGUGAGCUUCAUUAAGGUGAUCGGUGGGCGUCUGUAAAAAUACAGACCAUGAAGCAUAAACCAUAAAUAAACCAUAAAGCAUCUUUCACAGUACAUUACAUAUUGCUCCCAGAGGCAGAAAAAAAUACUAAAUGGUCCACCAAGACCAUUAGCAAUUUUCAAGUGGUCUAUGGGAGAAAUUUGGGGAUCACCAAGUUAAAAAGGCCUUUAGCUUGAUGGGCAUGGGAAGGAAAAAUAUUUCCUACCAGAAUUGCAUUUCUUUAAACUCCCAAAAUUGAAACCAGACAAUAUUUGGCACAGAUUUCAGUGAGUUAGGCAACCAAAGAGGAUUAAUUCCGAGCAAAAACAAGCAAUUAUGUAGCUGGGAAAUAGCUAUGGAAAUGUUUAUUCCUGAUUUUCAGUUAUCUUUAUAGGCGUGCCAAUGGGAAGGUAUUCCUGAGAAUAUAUUAACUAGGGUCAUGACUCAAGAGGCAAUAAAAUGUGUGCUACAAGGUGUCAUGGGACAUUUUGAACAAGUUACUGUUCUAAAAAGUGCAAGGUAUUUUAUGGGGAGUCCCAUAAGAGGGAAACAUCAAUCUGAAGAUUGGGGGGGGAGGGUUAGUAGUGCCCCCCUCCCUCAGCAUUGUAGGAAACCUCCGGUGGUUUGUGAGUUUUAUUAAUGCAAUGCUGCUAACAAGUUGUAUUUUCUCACACAUGGCUUAUUUUUAAAAGCAUAGCUAGCAUAUUAUUUUGAUUCCUACCUAGCUGUUUUCCCUGGACCAAAUUGCCUGCUAGUCAGUCAGUCAGUCAGUCUCUGCCUUCAGAAAUUCCCUUAAUCAGCUCAUUAGUGUAGUCUACGGCUACCUUGUCCUGCUUGGUUGAUUUAGCAGAAAGACUCAGCUGCCUCUUUUAUAAGUCGACUCAAUCUACAAAUCCUUGCUACAGUCAUGAAAAUGCAAAAGCUCAUGUCCAAAAUCUUCAGCUAAGUGAAGCAGGUGGCACUAAGGGUCCCUUCACAACCUGCUGUCUAAUUUUGGAGGGCUCACUCAGGAUUCAUAGACAGUAGGCAAGUUUGUUCUCAGAAAUGUCUAGUUACACUUGGGAGGUCAUGAGCCCAGAGGAAGUUUCUCUCAUUUGUCCAACAAACAGCAUCUCCUGAUUUGAUGCACCACACGAGCUACUCGAGCUUACAGUGGUACCUCGGGUUACAUACGCUUCAGGUUACAUACGCUUCAGGUUACAUACACUUCAGGUUACAUACGCUUCAGGUUACAUACACUUCAGGUUACAGACUCCGCUAACCCAGAAAUAGUGCUUCAGGUUAAGAACUUUGCUUCAGGAUAAGAACAGAAAUCGGGCUCUAGCGGUGCGGCGGCAGCAGGAAGCCCCAUUAUCUAAAGUGGUGCUUCAGGUUAAGAACAGUUUCAGGUUAAGAAUGGACCUCCGGAACGAAUUAAGUACUUAACCCGAGGUACCACUGUAUUUUCACCAUGCAUGUCAGGAUGUAACUGGAGGCAGGCCACAAUUUGAAGAUUCAACAUUGGAUGUCCCUGAGUUCUAAUGCUAGGGGAGAGAGGAGAAUAGCUUUUCUCUACGCAUAUUCUCCACACCGCAGGUA